rnacentral:rRNA from 2 species
ACAGAAGGGAGCUUGCUCCCGGAUGUUAGCGGCGGACGGGUGAGUAACACGUGGGUAACCUGCCUGUAAGACUGGGAUAACUCCGGGAAACCGGAGCUAAUACCGGAUAGUUCCUUGAACCGCAUGGUUCAAGGAUGAAAGACGGUUUCGGCUGUCACUUACAGAUGGACCCGCGGCGCAUUAGCUAGUUGGUGAGGUAACGGCUCACCAAGGCGACGAUGCGUAGCCGACCUGAGAGGGUGAUCGGCCACACUGGGACUGAGACACGGCCCAGACUCCUACGGGAGGCAGCAGUAGGGAAUCUUCCGCAAUGGACGAAAGUCUGACGGAGCAACGCCGCGUGAGUGAUGAAGGUUUUCGGAUCGUAAAGCUCUGUUGUUAGGGAAGAACAAGUGCAAGAGUAACUGCUUGCACCUUGACGGUACCUAACCAGAAAGCCACGGCUAACUACGUGCCAGCAGCCGCGGUAAUACGUAGGUGGCAAGCGUUGUCCGGAAUUAUUGGGCGUAAAGGGCUCGCAGGCGGUUUCUUAAGUCUGAUGUGAAAGCCCCCGGCUCAACCGGGGAGGGUCAUUGGAAACUGGGAAACUUGAGUGCAGAAGAGGAGAGUGGAAUUCCACGUGUAGCGGUGAAAUGCGUAGAGAUGUGGAG